CCUACGGGAGGCAGCAGUGGGGAAUAUUGCACAAUGGGCGAAACCCUGAUGCAGCGACGCCGCGUGAGUGAUGAAGUAUCUCGGUACGUAAAGCUCUAUCAGCAGGGAAGAAAAUGACGGUAUCUGACUAACAAUCCCCGUCUAACUACGUGCCAGCAGCCGCGGUAAUACGUAGGGUGCAAGCGUUAUCCGGAUUUACUGGGUGUAAAGGGAGCGUAGACGGCAGGACAAGUCAGGAGUGAAAUCCCGGGGCUUAACCGCGGAACUGCUUUGGAAACUGUGCGGCUGGAGUGCAGGAGGGGUAAGCGGAAUUCCUGGUGUAGCGGUGAAAUGCGUAGAUAUUAGGAGGAACACCGGUGGCGAAGGCGGCUUACUGGACUGUAACUGACGUUGAGGCUCGAAAGCGUGGGGAGCAAACAGGAUUAGAUACCCUAGUAGUC
rnacentral:rRNA from 1 species